rnacentral:lncRNA from 1 species
GCACGAGCUCCCGUCCGUAGAGAGCCGCGCGGCCAAUCAGCGCGCGGGCUGCUCGGGGGUGAGUGGCACGAGCUUAUUAGUAUGCAGGGCCCGUGGCUGGCCGCGCCGGGCUGCAGGCUUGAGAGCCGCUCUGGAUGGGCUCGCUAGAGUCGUUGUUGUGGAAGCGGUGCAUUUACAGUGCAACAGUCAGCACAUUGAAAAUACCAAUAGGAAUACAAAACAAAGUCACAUUUACUGAUUUAAUUGUAUUGCAUUCAAUUGUAUCCAGGAAACAGCCUCCAACCAUGGACCUGCACGGCGGCCACCGGCUUGGCGCUCGGCCGCCCGCGGAGAAGCCCUGUCCGCCGGCGUGCUGACUGGCACGCCGCCCCUGCCGCCAGUGACCCCGGACACCGCCUCCUCCGUGCCACUCGCGCGCCGCCCGCGCGCCCAGCCGCCCCCGGGCCCCGGCCACGCUGCUCCCGGGAGGUGGCGGCUGGCCGGGGCCGGGGCCGGGCAUGGAUGGCCGCGACUUUGCACCGCCGCCGCAUCUGCUGUCGGAGCGCGGGAGCCUGGGCCAUCGCGGCGCCGCGGCCGCGCGCCUCGCCCCGUCUGGUCCCGCCACGCAGCCGUCAGCGCACUUCCAGCCGGGGAAAUACUUCCCAUCGCCUCUGCCCAUGGCUUCGCACACAGGAUGGAGUGUCUCUGCAGCAGUUACCAACAUUAAGUAGGUGUGAAAAGAGUUACUUUCCGAAGACUCUACCCAUCCUGCUGCCGAAGUGACAGAGCUAGACAUCAAAGCUGCCGCCGCCGUGCCCAGCCGAGCUGCGGGAAUCCGGGAAUCUGGCAGCCGCUUGCUCGCUCUUUCAGGGACUGGGCCGGCUGUAGCCGCACCCGCCCCACCAAAGCCGUUUUUGGAAUGUGGGUUUUUUCCCUGUGGGGCUUGUGCUGCCACCGUGUCUGGUUAUUCCUUUAAGGAGACACCGGAUUUUCUAUAGGAAUAUCCAGAUCACGUGAGCAAUAGGCAAAUUAGCGAUCGAGGCAGGGAACGGCAUUGUGUGGAUAGCACAUCUCCCCUGGAAAACACGCGCACCCCCAAACACUCCCUGGUUAUUCUUAGAAAUCUCCCUCUUCUCCCCGCGAGACAGGGUUCAACAGCCACACAGACAGGACAGAACGCAUAGGAGGUUGUUAGAAUAACAUGGAUGAGGCUAAAAAUACCCCUCAGAAACACACAUAAAAAAGCCAAAUCCAACAACAGAACGAGCUAAAAAUAUUUCAAGCUUUGGCAAAGAGCACAGAGUUAAAUAAAUUAUACAAGAGCCAUUCAUGGGAGCAAGUUGACUUUCUCUCUUACGGGAACUUGGUUCAAGCUAAUAAAAAUAAUAAUUUACUGGCCACUGAGCUUUGCAUGAGUUUAAAUUUAAUUGGUGGGGCUUCUGGCGUUUGUCACUUCUUGGCGAUUAGUGGGCUUGCCCUGGCCUGGGGAGGCUUGGGGAGGAGUGCGGGGGGCCAGGGUCCUCAAGAGGCAGGGCCCAGCACUAGGCCCAGGUACCCAGGAGGCCAGGGGAGCAGGAGCAAGGCUGCCUGGGGUCCAGGAAGACAGAGAAGGAACAACCAAGGCACGACUAUUUUAAUUUGAUAAAUGAUCG